rnacentral:snRNA from 1 species
GGGUGUGAGGGCAACCUGGCUGUGACAUCUGUCAUCCAUUGAUCAUCAAGGUUGAUUCAGUUGAUCUGGCUGGCUGGGCAGGGGUCCCCUUCCUCCCUCAUUGCUCCAUGUGCGUCUCUCCCGAAGCUGUGAGCUCUGUUGAGGAGGACGACCUUCCCCGAUAGAGGAGGACUGUUCUUUGGUCAAGGGUAUAGGAAUAGCUGCGCUCCCCUGCUAGAACCUCCAACAAAAUCCUUGAUGUCCCAGAAAGAAUACAGGCCUCACCUUGAGGAGAAGAGGUUGACUUCCCUCCACUCUGC